GUGGGGAAUCUUGCGCAAUGGGCGAAAGCCUGACGCAGCCAUGCCGCGUGGAUGAUGAAGGUCUUAGGAUUGUAAAAUCCUUUCACCGGUGAAGAUAAUGACUGUAGCCGGAGAAGAAGCCCCGGCUAACUUCGUGCCAGCAGCCGCGGUAAUACGAAGGGGGCUAGCGUUGCUCGGAAUUACUGGGCGUAAAGGGAGCGUAGGCGGAUAGUUUAGUCAGAGGUGAAAGCCCAGGGCUCAACCUUGGAAUUGCCUUUGAUACUGGCUAUCUUGAGUAUGGAAGAGGUAUGUGGAACUCCGAGUGUAGAGGUGAAAUUCGUAGAUAUUCGGAAGAACACCAGUGGCGAAGGCGACAUACUGGUCCAUUACUGACGCUGAGGCUCGAAAGCGUGGGGAGCAAACAGGAUUAGAUACCCGAGUAGUCC
rnacentral:rRNA from 1 species